GACAGCAGCCGCCGCGGGAAAACAGAGGGUGCGAGCGUUAAUCGGAUUUACUGGGCGUAAAGCGUGCGUAGGCGGCUAAUUGAGUCGGAUGUGAAAUCCCCGAGCUUAACUUGGGAAUUGCAUUCGAUACUGGUUAGCUAGAGUGUGGGAGAGGAUGGUAGAAUUCCAGGUGUAGCGGUGAAAUGCGUAGAGAUCUGGAGGAAUACCGAUGGCGAAGGCAGCCAUCUGGCCUAACACUGACGCUGAGGUACGAAAGCAUGGGGAGCAAACAGGAUUAGAUACCCCCGUAGUCCCUGUCUCUUAUAC
rnacentral:rRNA from 1 species